rnacentral:rRNA from 1 species
AUUGAACGCUGGCGGCAUGCCUUACACAUGCAAGUCGAACGGUAACGCGGGGCAACCUGGCGACGAGUGGCGAACGGGUGAGUAAUGCAUCGGAACGUGCCCAGUAGUGGGGGAUAGCCCGGCGAAAGCCGGAUUAAUACCGCAUACGACCUACGGGUGAAAGGGGGGGAUCGCAAGACCUCUCGCUAUUGGAGCGGCCGAUGUCAGAUUAGGUAGUUGGUGGGGUAAAAGCCUACCAAGCCGACGAUCUGUAGCUGGUCUGAGAGGACGACCAGCCACACUGGAACUGAGACCAGGCCCAGACUCCUACGGGAGGCAGCAGUGGGGAAUUUUGGACAAUGGGGGAAACCCUGAUCCAGCCAUGCCGCGUGCGGGAAGAAGGCCUUCGGGUUGUAAACCGCUUUUGUCAGGGAAGAAAUCCUCUGGGUUAAUACCUCGGGAGGAUGACGGUACCUGAAGAAUAAGCACCGGCUAACUACGUGCCAGCCGCCGCAGUAA